GGUGAAGCAGGAACUCGCUGAGCCUCAAGGAAUGUGAAACUGGUUCAGAGGCAGAAGGGACUUGACUUGUCUCAGAUGAGACUUUGGACUUGGACUUUUGAGUUAAUGCCAGAAUGAGCUAAGACUUUGAGGGACUGUUGCCUCUCAGCAUCCGGCUCUGCCUCCUCAUUUGGACUUCUGGGUCCCGAGUUCCUCCUGUCCCUCUGCUCUCUCUGAUGCCACGGUUAAUCAACUGAACUUUCUCACUCUUAUCUUUGAUUCCCUUUUAUCCUGGCCCUGACUCUUACCUGCCUGGCAAAACCAAAACCUCAGAUGCAUGUUUCCGUUCAUCUUUGCUGUGACUCUUACGUAGCUUUGUGCAGAUGGAGCAAAGUGUGAAGACAGAAAUCCAUGCCCCAGCAGGUGUGCAUCCUCCAAGCUCAGCCAGGCCUUCCAGUGUCCAGUAUUUUCCCUUGGUCUCCUGUUCCCUAUAAUAACACUAAAUGGGCCAGGUGCGGUGGCUCACACCUGUAAUCCGAGCACUUUGGGAGGCCAAGAUGGGUGGAUCACCUGACGUCAGGAGUUUAAGACCAGCCUGGCCAACAUGAUGAAACACUGUCUCUACUAAAAAUGCAAAAAAUUAGCUGGACGUGGUGGUGGCAGCCUGUAAUACCAGCUACUUGGGAGGCUGAGGCAAGAGAAUCACUUGAACUUGGGAGGCGGAGAUUGCAGUGAACCGAGGUUGCACCACUGCACUUGAGCCUGGGCAACAAGAGCAAAACUCCGUCUCAAAUAAUAAUAAUAAUAAUACCAAAUGAUAUCCUUCUUCUAUUCUCCUUCUUUCCUCCAGUCUCAGGCAAUGAAUGGGAUUGCCUCCUCCAGACCAAGACUAACUUCUCCAACUCUGUCAGCUGACUCAGUUACUCCCUCACCUUCUUUAGAAAGCUGCUCCAUCAACCAUCUUCUCUCCUAUAUGUUCAACCUCUGGCUCCCUACUGAUGAAUAAAACUUUCAUUAGCCUGUCCCCCAAUCCUGCACUCCCUUCCCAAUUAUCAUCCAAUUGUUUUCUCUCCAUCAGAGACAAACAUUUGUUUAGGGACUAUUUCAAACAUACUUAAAAAGUACAGAGAACCAUGUAGUAAACAAAGAUUUAACAGACAUUGACAUUUUGCCAUAUUUCACUAGGGUUUUCCCGUUUAUGGAAAAAAAAUGCAGGCCGGGUACAGUGGCUCAUGCCUGUAAUCCCAGCACUUUGGAAGGUUGAGGCAGGUGGAUCACUUGAGGCCGGGAGUUCAAGACCAGCCUAGCCAACACAGCAAAACCCUAUCUCUACUAAAAAUACAAAAAUUAGCAGAGAGUGGUGGCAUGCACCUGUAUUCCCAGCUACUCAGGAGGCUGAGGCAUGCAAAUCACUUGAACCCAGGAGGCAGAGGUUGCAGUGAGCCAAGAUCACGCAGUGGCACUCCAGCCUGGGCAACAGAGCAAGACUCCGUCUUAAAAAAAAAAAAAUUAAAAGUAAAGAAAAAA
ensembl:lncRNA novel transcript